UGACAAUUUAAUGGGUCUAGUAGU
rnacentral:miRNA from 1 species